rnacentral:misc_RNA from 1 species
AAUCGGAGGCGCAGAAGAGGAAGAAUCGCCAGUCGUCUUCGCUGCUGUCAGUACCACACCAAUGGCUGCGAUCUUAGCUCGCAAGUCUCUCUCCGCGCUUCGUGCUCGUCAGCUUGUGAGAACUCUUUAGCCCUAACUUUCUAUGAAAGCUUGUUUCGCUUCCUUUUUUUGUGUAGUCUCCGAGAAAAUGUAGGAAAUGGUGAAAUCCAUAUAAAUUUGAUUCUCAACUCGCUAUUAUCUGCAACUGAGGCUAAUAUUCCUUCUUCUUUUUCAUUGUCUUGUAUAAUUUCGCAUUUAGGUGAUAUGUGAUUUGUGGUGAUCUGGAUUAUUUGGUAGAUUGGGAUCCUUUGUGAUUGCAAAUGAAUUUACUGACUCAAAGUUCAAUUUCUCGCCACUUUGAAUAGAAACUCUUGACGUUUCAAUGGAUUUCUGGUUCUACAGUGCGUUGAAGUGGAUGUGCACUUGACCGUUUGUUAUUACAUCUAGCAAUAUAAAGUCUCAUUUUGAACGUGGCAUUGUGCUCUUUGUUUUAUGGAUAUAAGAAAUGAAGUCCUUGCUUUGUUUUAUUUCUGUCAUUUAAUUUGUGUGGUUGCUGUAAGCUGCUGAAUUUAGGUACCACCAUAACUCUGGUAGCUUUGUUCUUCAAGUAAAUGGUAUACCCAUAGUUAGGUUAAUAUCAUUCUGGAAAAGAAAACAUAAAACUUUGUGGCUAUAAGGUAAUUGUUAGGGUAAUGAAAGAGUGGUUUGUGGUGGAAUUUCUCUUAUUGGGUUACAUUUUUUGAAAGGAUAGUGUACUUUGGAAUAACUGUUUUGAUUUUGUUAAUGUUACUGGUAUAACUUCUAUGUUUGACCUUUUUUAUGUUUUCUUUUGAAGAUAUAUAUGUUAGCAGCUGCAUAGUGCAAUUGCUGACACUCCUGUUUUGCCGCUGUUGUGAGUGCAACAAAAAUAAGGAUUACUAUUGCUCUUCUAGCCCUUUUGUCUACAAGUGGCAUUUUUCAUAAUGUUUUGUGCGUUGCCUUUUCUCAUCCUUGUUUGUUAUUAGCUUAAAGUUAUGUAAUAUAUUUCCAUGAUUUGUGUAUUUAG